CCCUCCUCUUCUGCGUCAUCAACGCCGCCCAGGGGCUGCUGAUCUUCCUGUGCCACUGCCUGGGACACCCCAAGGUGCGGGCCUGGUACCGGUCCCUGCUGUGCCCGCGCUCCCGCCCCUACUCGGAGUUCACCAGUCACACCAGUAACACCAGUAACACCAGUAACACCAGUGCCAGCAGCGUCCGGGGCUCCCAGUCACACCAGUGACACCAGUAACAGCAGGUGCCGAAAAUUGCAGGAAAAAUCAAAAAAUUCCAGGAAAACCGAGGGAAUUCUGGGAAAUUCGGAAUUUUGGGGAAUUUGGGAUUUUGGGAAAUUUGGAAUUCUGGGAAAUUCGGAAUUUUUGGAAAUUUGGGGGUUUUUUUUUUUUUGUUUUGUUUUUGGUUUUUUUUUUUUGCCGCCUCCUCUCCCACAUCUGGGUGAAAAAAAAAGUUCAGUUUUGGGGUGAAAUUCCAGGAUUUUGGGUGAAAUUCCGGGAUUUUGGGUGAAAUUCUGGGAUUUGGGGUGAAAUUCCGGGAUUUUGGGUGAAAUUCCGGGAUUUUGGGGUGAAAUUCCAGGAUUUUGGGUGAAAUUCCAGGAUUUUGGGGUGAAAUUCCAGGAUUUUGGGUUGAAAUUCCGGGAUUUUGGGUGAAAUUCCGGGAUUUUGGGGUGAAAUUCCGGGAUUUUGGGGUUCCAGGACGUUUUUGGGGUAAAAUUCACUUUUUUUUUUU